AUACGGAGGAUGCAAGCGUUAUCCGGAUUUAUUGGGUUUAAAGGGUGCGUAGGCGGUUUGCUAAGCGGGAGGUGAGAUGCCGGCGCUCAACGUCGGAAGUGCCUCCCGAACUGGUGGACUGGAAUGACUCUGCCGUGGGAGGAAUGUGUAGUGUAGCGGUGAAAUGCUUAGAGAUUACACAGAACACCGAUUGCGAAGGCAUCUCACGAAGGGUUGAUUGACGCUGAGGCACGAAAGCGUGGGGAUCAAACAGGAUUAGAUACCCUGGUAGUCCACGCAGUAAACGAUGAUGGCUAACCGCUGGUUUAUUCGGAUCAGUGGCCAAGCGAAAGCGAUAAGCCAUCCACCUGGGGAGUACGACCGCAAGGUUGAAACUCAAAGGAAUUGACGGGG
rnacentral:rRNA from 1 species